CUCCCAAAAAAAAAAAAAAAAUCCCCAAUCAAAAUUUCAUCUCAAUCGAUGGCCGCUCUUCAAUCCCACCCCAAAUUCAUGCCGGCCAAAUACCUAAAACCGGUUCAAUUCAAGAACCCUCGUUCGUUUUCGUUCUCCAAGAAAGUUUUGCUCUCCAGGAAACUGUUUUCCGACAAGAAAUCGAAUGGGUUUUUGUUGUUGGGUCCGAGGUUCAGUAAAUACUACUGCUGCAAAGCAAGCGCCGAGAUUGAUAAUUCCGUUUCGGUGGAGGAGAGUGUGGAAGAGAGGCCUCCUUUUGAUAUUAACUUGGCCGUUAUUCUCGCCGGCUUUGCUUUUGAAGCUUACACCACCCCGCCUGAAAAAAUCGGCAAGCGCGAGAUGGAUGCAGGCAAGUGCCAGACAGUAUUCCUUUCAGAGUCGUUUGUACGGGAAAUUUACGAUGGACAAUUAUUUAUAAAGCUGAAGAAAGGUUUCAACUUACCUGCCAUGGAUCCUUGGGGAACUAGUGAUCCGUACGUGAUCAUGCAAUUGGAUUGUCAAGAAGUCAAAAGCAAGAUCAAGUGGGGGACGAAAGAACCAAAGUGGAACGAGGAGUUCACUUUGAAUAUAAAGCAGCCACCGAUGCACAAUCUUCAGGUGGCGGCUUGGGAUGCGAAUCUCGUGACUCCACACAAACGAAUGGGGAAUGCCUGUAUAGAUUUGGAAAACCUCUGCGAUGGAAAUUCCCAUGAAGUACUUCUUGACUUGGAAGGGAUGGGAGGUGGUGGAAAAAUAGAAGUAGAGAUAAAGUACAAGAGUUUCGAAAAAAUGGACGACGAGAAGAAAUGGUGGAAAAUCCCAAUAGUAACCGAAUUUUUCCAGAAAAACGGCUUCGAGCCUGCACUAAAAAUGAUUAUCGGAUCAGACCAAACCGUGCCAGCUCGUGAGUUUGUGCAGUUUGCCUUCGGACAGCUUAAAUCAAUAAACAAUUCGUAUCUUCAAAAGGACUGGUUCUCCUCCUCCUCCGAUGCCAAGAACCUUCAGGAACAAACAUGCAGUGAAACGGGCCCCACAAAUGAGACUAAUAGUAAUGGUACGCCGAACAGCCCGUCAGAAGAAAAGCAGUUUUGGAAGAAUUUAGCCGAUUCCGUCAAUCAAAAAGUUGCUCAAAAAUUCGGUCUUCCUUUACCGGAGAAGAUAAAGUGGGAGGGUUUUGACUUAUUAAAGAAUAUCGGAAUUCAGUCGCGCGAAAUAGCGGAGACGAGUUACGUCGAAUCCGGCCUCGCAACUCCUAAUAACCAGGACACAAUUAGCGACGAUGCGGUAACAACAACAACGCCAAAUGCGUCUUCUCUACCGGACAUCAAGAAAGUGACGCAAGAGAUAUUAAGACAGACCGACUCGAUUUUGGGUGCGUUGAUGGUCGUAAAUGCUGCGGUUUCUAAGUUGCAUAUAGGAGUUGGGAAAACCGAAGAAGUGGACAAAGAAAGUAAGAGAUUAUUAAUUAGUGACCCGAAUAAUACGUUAGUGUUGAGCGAGAAGGAAGAUGAAGAGAUGAAGGCACUUUUCUCGACAGCUGAGAGUGCAAUGGAGGCGUGGGCAAUGCUGGCGAACGCAUUGGGUCAUCCGACGUUUAUUAAGUCCGAGUUCGAAAAGAUUUGCUUCUUCGAUAACGAAGAAACCGACACUCAGGUAGCAAUUUGGCGUGAUUUGGAAAGAGAAAGACUUGUUAUCGCAUUCAGGGGAACGGAACAAACUAAGUGGAAGGAUUUGCUGACAGAUUUGAUGCUUGUUCCUGCCGGACUAAACCCUGAAAGGAUAGGUGGUGACUUUAAGAACGAAGUUCAGGUUCAUAGUGGUUUCUUGAAUGCAUAUGAUUCCGUUAGGACAAGGCUUAUCUCCCUCAUUAAACAAGCUAUCGGUUACAGAGGCGAUUCUUCGGAUCAGCUUCGGAAAUGGCAUAUUUAUGUGACCGGACAUAGUUUGGGAGGUGCAUUAGCUACGCUUAUGGCUCUUGAAUUGUCUUCAAGUCAAUUAGCAAAGCAUGGAGCUAUUAAUGUGACAAUGUAUAAUUUCGGAUCUCCUCGAGUUGGAAACAAAAUAUUUGCUCAAGUUUACAACCAGAAAGUAAAGGACAGUUGGAGAGUUGUGAACCAUAGAGAUAUAAUACCAACGGUGCCACGUCUGAUGGGAUACUGCCACGUGGCGCAACCAGUUUAUUUGGCCGCUAGAGAUAUCGGAAAUACAAAGGAUAAUUUGGAUGUUCUUGAGGAUGGAUAUCAAGGUGAUGUUAUCGGAGAGGCGACACCUGAUGUUCUUGUCACUGAAUUUAUGAGAGGAGAAAGAGAACUCGUCGAGAACAUAUUGAACACGGAAAUAAAUAUUUUCCGAUCAAUUAGAGAUGGAAGUGCACUCAUGCAGCAUAUGGAAGAUUUCUAUUACAUUACACUUCUUGAGAAUGUCCGGUCUAAUUAUCAGUCCGUCGGAGGAUCAAAAUCGGCUGACCAAAAGCUGUCGGCUUGAAAAAUACACACACACACUUAUAACGUAAUAGUAAAUAUCGAAUCGAAACCCUAAUCUCAUCGUCCUACCACCAAUUCCAACCCCAACACCCCGUCCAGUCGCCUCCCACCACCGCAACACAUCCUCCACCAUGGCUGCUCCGCCUUGUUGCUCUCCAAGCGCCGCCGUGACCGCCGCCGCUCGAAGUACACACUCGAGCACAAGUGGCCAGUGGGAAGACGGUGGUGGUGUUGUCGGAGAUGGCAGCGGCCAAUUUUUUGCAGAAUUCUAUUUGUAUGUUUCUUUUUCUGAUUUUUUCUUUUUUUUUAUUUU